CAGAGAUAAAAACACAAGGCGGUUGGUAGUCCGUCCGCGGGUCCGCGCUCCCGUAAGUAGCCUUCCCUCCCGGGUCGUCCCUUCUCUGA
rnacentral:ncRNA from 1 species